CAUCGCCGCGGUAAUACAGAGGGUGCGAGCGUUAAUCGGAUUUACUGGGCGUAAAGCGUGCGUAGGCGGCUUUUUAAGUCGGAUGUGAAAUCCCUGAGCUUAACUUAGGAAUUGCAUUCGAUACUGGGAAGCUAGAGUAUGGGAGAGGAUGGUAGAAUUCCAGGUGUAGCGGUGAAAUGCGUAGAGAUCUGGAGGAAUACCGAUGGCGAAGGCAGCCAUCUGGCCUAAUACUGACGCUGAGGUACGAAAGCAUGGGGAGCAAACAGGAUUAGAUACCCCUGUAGUCCCUGUCUCUUAUACA
rnacentral:rRNA from 1 species